GAUGAACGCUGGCGGCGUGCCUAAUACAUGCAAGUCGAGCGAACAGACGAGGAGCUUGCUCCUCUGACGUUAGCGGCGGACGGGUGAGUAACACGUGGAUAACCUACCUAUAAGACUGGGAUAACUUCGGGAAACCGGAGCUAAUACCGGAUAAUAUAUUGAACCGCAUGGUUCAAUAGUGAAAGACGGUUUUGCUGUCACUUAUAGAUGGAUCCGCGCCGCAUUAGCUAGUUGGUAAGGUAACGGCUUACCAAGGCAACGAUGCGUAGCCGACCUGAGAGGGGGAUCGGCAACACUGGAACUGAGACACGGUCCAGACUCCGACGGGAGGCAGCAGUAGGGAAUCUUCCGCAAUGGGCGAAAGCCUGACGGAGCAACGCCGCGUGAGUGAUGAAGGUCUGCGGAUCGUAAAACUCUGUUAUUAGGGAAGAACAAAUGUGUAAGUAACUAUGCACGUCUUGACGGUACCUAAUCAGAAAGCCACGGCUAACUACGU
rnacentral:rRNA from 1 species